UGGGGAAUUUUUCCGCAAUGGGCGAAAGCCUGACGGAGCAAUACCGCGUGAGGGAGGACGGCUUUUGGGUUGUAAACCUCUUUUAUCAGGGAAGAAAAAAAUGACGGUACCUGAUGAAUCAGCAUCGGCUAACUCCGUGCCAGCAGCCGCGGUAAUACGGAGGAUGCAAGCGUUAUCCGGAAUUAUUGGGCGUAAAGCGUCCGUAGGUGGUUUUUCAAGUCUGCUGUCAAAGCGUGGAGCUUAACUCCAUAUCGGCAGUGGAAACUGGGAGACUAGAGUGCGAUAGGGGUAACGGGAAUUCCCAGUGUAGCGGUGAAAUGCGUAGAGAUUGGGAAGAACACCAGCGGCGAAAGCGCGUUACUGGGUCUGCACUGACACUGAGGGACGAAAGCUAGGGGAGCGAAAGGGAUUAGAUACCCCCWGUAGUCAA
rnacentral:rRNA from 1 species